rnacentral:misc_RNA from 1 species
GUAAGAACGUAGCGAAAUGCGAUAAGUAAUGUGAAUUGCAGAAUUCAGUGAAUCAUCGAAUCUUUGAACGCACAUUGCGCCCAUUAGUAUUCUAGUGGGCAUGCCUGUUCGAGCGUCAUUAAGUCCACUUAAGCCCUGCUUAGUGUUGGGAGACUGCUCCAGCGGUGCUACCCUGUAGCUACCCUGCAGCUCCUCAAAGACAGCGGCGGAGUUGUGGUAUCCUCUGAGCUUAGUAACUUGUUCUAGCUUUCGAGUACACCACUUCCCCUGCCGUAAAACCCUUAAUUUUUAAUGGUUGACCUCGGAUCAGGUAGGAAUACCCGCUGAACUUAAGCAUAUCAAUAAGCGGAGGA